rnacentral:rRNA from 1 species
GACGAACGCUGGCGGCGUGCUUAACACAUGCAAGUCGAGCGGUAAGGCCCUUUCGGGGGUACACGAGCGGCGAACGGGUGAGUAACACGUGGGUGACCUGCCCUCAGCUCUGGGAUAAGCCUGGGAAACUGGGUCUAAUACUGGAUAUGACUCCACGGUGCAUGUCGUGGGGUGGAAAGCCUUGUGCGGCUGAGGAUGGGCCCGCGGCCUAUCAGCUUGUUGGUGGGGUGANGGCCUACCAAGGCGACGACGGGUAGCCGGCCUGAGAGGGCGACCGGCCACACUGGGACUGAGACACGGCCCAGACUCCUACGGGAGGCAGCAGUGGGGAAUCUUGCGCAAUGGGCGAAAGCCUGACGCAGCGACGCCGCGUGAGGGAUGA